CAAGGACGGCAGCAGGCGCGAAACUUGUCCACUCCUUACGGGGGAGACAGUCAUGAGACGUGAGUAUAAGACCUGAGUGUAAAGACCUUAGGGUGAAGCAAUUGGAGGGCAAGCUUUGGUGCCAGCAGCCGCGGUAACUCCAACUCCAAGAGUGUCUAUGGUGGAUGCUGCAGUUAAAGGGUCCGUAGUCGUGAAUGCAAUUAAAUGUCGUUGUUCAAUAGCGAUGAGUUUGCUAAUGUUUGCGGAACGGAUAGGGAGUGUAGUAUAGACUGGCGAAGAAUGAAAUCUCAAGACCCAGUUUGGACUAACGGAGGCGAAGGCGACACUCUUAGACGUAUCUUAGGAUCAAGGACGAAGGCAGGAGUAUCGAAAGUGAUUAGACACCGCUGUAGUUCCUGCAGUAAACUAUGCCGACAGCCUGUGUGUGAGAAUACGUGGGCGGGAGAAAUCUUAGUGUUCGGGCUCUGGGGAUAGUACGCUCGCAAGGGUGAAACUUAAAGCGAAAUUGACGGAAGGACACUACCAGGAGUGGAUUGUGCUGCUUAAUUUAACUCAACGCGGGAAAACUUACCAGGGUCAAGUCAUUCGUUGAUCGAAUACGUGAGAAUGGCAGGAGUGGUGCAUGGCCGUUGGAAAUUGAUGGGGCGACCUUUAGCUUAAAUGCUUAAACCAGUGAGACCUCCUUGACAGGUGUUCUGUAACACAGGAGGGUGGAGGCUAUAACAGGUCCGUGAUGCCCUUAGAUAUCCUGGGCAGCAAGCGCAAUACAAUAUCUCUUCAGUAGACAAAGUGAUUUGAGAUGAGUAGGAUCUACGUUUGUAAAUACGUAGUGAAUAAGGAAU
rnacentral:rRNA from 1 species